rnacentral:tRNA from 1 species
AUUGGGGUGGCAGAGCCUGGUAAUUGCGAAAGGCCUAAGCCCUUUAAACCAAAGGUUCAAAUCCUUUCCCCAGUU